CAAACAGAUGGAGUUUAGGAUUGGUGAAUUCAAAUCAUCAAGCUCACAAACUGGGAGAAGAUGGACUGGGUCUAAGAACAGACUGCAUUGUUGAAGACAAAAUGAAAGGGUAACCUUUAUACACCAGCAUUUCACUGCUAGGAAUUUCCAAACUGAUGAAAACAGUUGGCUGUCCAUCUGGAAAAGCAGGAGCAGCAUGCCUCUGUCUUGCAUGGAGCCAGUCAACUGCAGACCCAGAGCCCUUCAGUAGCUUCCUGCCUCCUUCCAAGUCAUGGAGACUUAUUGACUUCAGAGUGAUUCCGUAAAACUAUUCUGAAGUCAAUGAACCUAAAGGUCUAAAUCGUCAAAUAAUAGAGAAGGUUCUGUAAGUGGUUCUUUGCCACGUGCUUCAAGAGAUAAUAAGACAUCAGUCUUCAGAUGGUUUCCCAAUGACCUAGCACGGUAUGUCUGCAGUAUCUCCAUCAUACAUGAGCCGCAGCCUCUCUGAAGACUAGACUGGAAAGUAAAGGUUAAGAAGAUCACAUCAGGAGCCAAACAUUCUUGGAAGCUGAUGCUUCUCUACAGACUAUUGAUAUUCAAAUCCCACCAAGUGUGUGCCCUAUUUUAACUGGACCACCUCAGUUAAUGAAUGCAUCUGUUAACUUA